rnacentral:SRP_RNA from 1 species
GUUGGGCAAGGUGGCUCAUGCCUAUAAUCCCAGCUACUCAGGAGGCUGAGGCAGGAGGACUGCUGGAGCCCAGGAGUUCGAGGCUGCAGUGAGCUAUGAUCAAGCCACUGCAUUCCAGCCUGGGCAACAGUGCAAGACCCUGUCUCUA